rnacentral:rRNA from 1 species
GGCGGCGGCAGCUACCAUGCAGUCGAGCGGUACACAAAGAGCUUGCUCCCGGGUGACGAGCGGCGGACGGGUGAGUAAUGUCUGGGAAACUGCCUGAUGGAGGGGGAUAACUACUGGAAACGGUAGCUAAUACCGCAUAACGUCGCAAGACCAAAGAGGGGGACCUUCGGGCCUCUUGCCAUCACAUGUGCCCAGAUGGGAUUAGCUAGUAGGUGGGGUAACGGCUCACCUAGGCGACAAUCCCUAGCUGGUCUGAGAGGAUGACCAGCCACACUGGAACUGAGACACGGUCCAGACUCCUACGGGAGGCAGCAGUGGGGAAUAUUGCACAAUGGGCGCAAGCCUGAUGCACCCAUGCCGCGUGUAUGAAAAAAGCCUUCGGGUUGUAAAGUACUUUCAGCGGGGAGGAAGGUGUUGAGGUUAAUAACCUCACCAAUUGACGUUACCCGCACAAAAAACACCGGCUAACUCCGUGCCAGCACCCGCGGUAAUACGGAGGGUGCAAGCGUUAAUCGGAAUUACUGGGCGUAAAGCGCACGCACGCGGUCUGUCAAGUCGGAUGUGAAAUCCCCGGGCUCAACCUGGGAACUGCAUUCUAAACUGGCAGGCUAGAGUCUUGUAGAGGGGGGUAGAAUUCCCGGUGUAGCGGUGAAAUGCGUAUAGAUCUGGAGGAAUACCGGUGGCGAAAGCGCCCCCCCUGGACAAAAACUGACGCUCACGUGCGAAAGCGUGGGGAGCAAACAAGAUUUAUAUACCCUGGGAUUCCCCGCCCCAAACAAUAUCUACUUGGAGGUUUUGCGCCUGAGGCGUGGCCUUCCUCAAGCUUUUUCGUUUAAAUUCAC